AAUACAUUUUUACAAUACUGUGAACAAACCAGAGUGUAUAAAACAUGUAAUAUAUUAUAAUAUUUAGCAAUGAAUGUUUUAUCAUGGAAUAUUGCUUUUUAAUAUAAUAUCGAUGGAGAUAGUUGGAGUUAAGAGUACUGAUAGGCGAGCGGUGAAAUGCAUUGACCCUAUUAAGACUAACAAAAGCGAAAGCACUUAACUAGAUUAUUCUCUUUGUAUUAUUACAAUGAAGAGCGAAGGUUGGGGGAACAAAGAGGAUCAGAUACCCUCGUAGUCCUAUUUUUACAUCAAACUAUGGGAUUUCAAUCACACUUAUGUUCUACAAUAUUUUUUAUUAUAUAUAAUUGAGUACUUAAUUGUUUACUCUUAUAUUUAAUAUAAUUAUUUUUAUUAUUCAUUAUAUGUACUUUGAGCUCAUAUAAUUAUAUAGGUGAGAUGUAAGCAUUAUAGGUGAAUAAUAUAUAAGUAAUGUUAUAUUAUUAUGAUCCUUAUUUAUAAAAAUGUAAUGUGAUG
rnacentral:rRNA from 1 species